rnacentral:rRNA from 1 species
UACGAAGGGGGCUAGCGUUGUUCGGAUUCACUGGGCUUAAAGGGCGCGUAGGCGGAUGGUCAAGUCGGGGGUGAAAUCUUUCAGCUUAACUGGAAAAGUGCCUUCGAUACUGAUCGUCUCGAGGGAGGUAGGGGCAUGUGGAACUUCCGGUGGAGCGGUGAAAUGCGUAGAUAUCGGAAGGAACGCCGGUGGCGAAAGCGACGUGCUGGACCUCUUCUGACGCUGAGGCGCGAAAGCUAGGGGAGCAAACGGG